rnacentral:rRNA from 1 species
CAGCCGCCGCGGGAAUACGUAGGGUCCGAGCGUUGUCCGGAAUUAUUGGGCGUAAAGAGCUCGUAGGCGGUCUGUCGCGUCUGCCGUGAAAUCCUCAGGCUCAACCUGAGGCGUGCGGUGGGUACGGGCAGGCUAGAGUGCGGUAGGGGAGAAUGGAACUCCUGGUGUAGCGGUGGAAUGCGCAGAUAUCAGGAAGAACACCGAUGGCGAAGGCAGUUCUCUGGGCCGUAACUGACGCUGAGGAGCGAAAGCGUGGGGAGCGAACAGGAUUAGAUACCCCCGUAGUCCCUGUCUCUUAUAC